rnacentral:rRNA from 1 species
AUUGAACGCUGGCGGCAUGCUUUACACAUGCAAGUCGGACGAGUGGCGAACGGGUGAGUAACAUAUCGGAACGUACCGAGUAAUGGGGGAUAACUAAUCGAAAGAUUAGCUAAUACCGCAUAUUAUUCGAGCGGCCGAUAUCUGAUUAGCUGGUUGGUGGGGUAAAGGCCUACCAAGGCGACGAUCAGUAGCGGGUCUGAGAGGAUGAUCCGCCACCCUGGGACUGAGAAACGGCCCAGACUCCUACGGGAGGCAGCAGUGGGGAAUUUUGGACAAUGGGCGCAAGCCUGAUCCAGCCAUGCCGCGUGUCUGAAGAAGGCCUUCGGGUUGUAAAAAUCUUUUUUAUGGGAUGCAGUACCAUAAGAAUAAGGUCCGGCUAAAUACGUGCCAGCAGCCGCGGUAAUAC